GAAUUUCCGGCGCGUCGUCCGCGACGUAAAACGUAUGCCGUCGAAAACGAAAUUCGAUUAUCGGUGUCAUCACCCCGUCGCGUCAUCGUCGAAGACGUGAUAAAGAGCUGCGAUCAUUCCCGCGGGUUAACGGAACUGACAGGAAACAGAGCUGAACCGAGACUCGGCGGUCCGAGAGUAUAAGGCAACAGUAUAACGGGGUCAGUGCGCAGGCAU